AGGUGGUCCCUAGAGGAGUCAAAUUCUUGGAGACAGAAAGUGGAAUGAUGGAGGAAGGCGACCAUGCAACCAGGAAUGCAGGCAGCCCCUAGAAGCUGGAAACCACAAGGAAAUGGAUCCAGAACCUCCAGAGGGCCCACGGCCCCACCAACGCCUUGAAUUUAGCACAGCAAGACCCGUGCAGACUUCUGACCUGCAAAAGUGUAAGGAGUGAAACCUGGUUCUGCAUUACAUUUGUUCAGUGAAACCCUUCUGAGUGGAAUUCUGUUUGCCCCUAAGACUCAGCAAUCCUGCUUUGGGAAGCUUACCCUCCAGGUAGGAUGACUGUACUGGUGGGAAAUGGCGCAGAAAGGUAUUUCUCGCAGCACUGCCUGUAAAAGUGGGGUUGGGAAAGAACCUCAAGU